AGAAAAGAUGACUGUGAAGCGGGCGCCGCUUUGCUUGAAUUCCCGUCCAAUGGAGGAGCAGUGUGAGAGCCCUGACUCGCAGAGAUUUCCAGGCCCCCAGCCAAGGAACUGAUGCCAGGGAAACAGAGAGAGUCUCGCAGCUCCGACAACAGUGACUUUCCUGGGCUGAUCGCUGUAAUGGCUUCAGUUGCUAAAAUGCAAUUCAGAAAAGAGCAAUCUUUAUUCCUUCAACAUUGAAGACCACAUCCCAUGUGCCCAGCCUGUGCUAGCAGUGGAUACACGCUGGAGAAGAGGAGAGCCUCGAGAUGUCAUAGGGCAUCAGGGGAGACGGGCAGCAAAUCACAGGUCAAUGUCCACAUGCACAGUGGAACUAGCAUACGGAAGAGCAUGAACAGGUAUGUUGACAGAGAAUGGUGCUGAGACUCAGAGCGGAGGGGCAACAUGGAAAACACAUCUUAAAGGAUGAGAAGGAGCCACUCAUGCAGGGAGGGAACGAAGCUUCUCUGAGCAAGUGGUGAGAGAGGGUCUGAGGGCUCCUAGGAGGAAGACAGCUCUCCCGGGGUGGGCCCCACCCACCCAACCACAGAUCUGGACUCCAUGGCAGGAAUUCCUCACAGGGGUUAACGACCCACAGGGUCCAGAGAGAGAAUUCCAGGGUAUGUGAACUUAUGGGGAAAGCACAUCUUUAAUUUCAUGAACCUCUGCUGAACUCUAGUGUUCUUGCAGUGAUGAAGUGGGCAACCACACCAGCCACCAGUGACAUCACAGACAGUCUACAUGAUGUGACGACGGUUGUUGCUGGUCUCUCGAAAUACCCUUCAGGCUCAGCACUACCUCAGGACUGCGGUGGGUCCCAAGCCUGCAACCGGGUCUUGUAAUCUAAUGUGUUGCUCUAAAGUAAAUAUAUUACUAUACCACCAAUUUGUUUCAUAUUUUUACACAUAUCUGUUUCCUUUGAAACAACAUAUUUCAACUUAAUUUGUUUCCCUAGAAAUCCUAUAUAUUUUGUGUUGAGAAAUUUCAUUCUGAGAAGAGGCUCAAAGGCUCCAAGCAGAGGUCUCUGGGAAAUCAAUCAGUCAAUAAAAAGAAUGGCAAUAAAAUUAAGAAGCUCUGCCCUUGAACAAUUGUUCUCACCAUUCUUUAGUGUAAUGGAUGGAUGAAGUAAGAAUCUUUCUGAUUUAUCCAUUAAUGCCAUUUCUUGCAAAUGACCUUUUGAUAAUAAGAGAAUAGCAGUGGGUUCCAAAGCAAUUCACCACAAGAAAAUAGAAAAAAAAGGAGAAAACCAUCUCUAUAGAAUUUAAAAAAAUGGUAAAAUUCAAUAUCUACUUAUCAUCAAAAACUUCUGGAAAACUAUGAGUAGAGGAGCAUGCUCUCAACCUGAUGAAGGACAUCUUCAGGAAAUCUACAUAAACAUCCUACUUGAAUGUAAAACCUAGACGUUUCCUCUCUGAGGUGGAGAAUCUUGCCUGUCCUCACCACUUCUGUUCAACAUGGCCCUGGAAGGUCUAGACACUUCAAUAAGGCAAGAAAAAGAAAUAAAAGGCACAAAGAUUGGUAUAAAAGAAAGAAAACUGUCAUU
rnacentral:lncRNA from 1 species